GUUACGUUUUGUAAUACUUUGCAUACAUCACUAGGUUGAUUAAAAAGGGACCGGUUUCACAGGUGGUAAGAAGUGAGGGGUCGGCAGGCUCGAAUCGAGCCGCCUGUUCACUAAUGAUCCUUCCGCAGGUUCACCUACGGAAA
rnacentral:misc_RNA from 1 species